GGUAACUCCGUGCGAGAGGCGGAGGUAAUACGGAGGGGGCAAGCGGUAUCCGGAUUUAUUGGGUUUAAAGGGUCCGUAGGCGGGCUUGUAAGUCAGUGGUGAAAUCUCACAGCUUAACUGUGAAACUGCCAGUGAUACUGCAGGUCUUGAGUAAGGUAGAAGUAGCUGGAAUAAGUAGUGUAGCGGUGAAAUGCAUAGAUAUUACUUAGAACACCAAUUGCGAAGGCAGGUUACUAUGUCUUAACUGACGCUGAUGGACGAAAGCGUGGGGAGCGAACAGGAUUAGAUACCCCGGUAGUC
rnacentral:rRNA from 1 species